UACGUAGGGUGCGAGCGUUAAUCGGAAUUACUGGGCGUAAAGCGUGCGCAGGCGGUUUGUUAAGUCGGCUGUGAAAGUCCAGGGCUCAACCCUGGGAUGCCGGUCGAUACUGCCGGACUAGAGUUCGGAAGAGGCGAGUGGAAUUCCCGGUGUAGCGGUGAAAUGCGCAGAUAUCGGGAGGAACACCUAUGGCGAAGGCAGCUCGCUGGGACGUUACUGACGC
rnacentral:rRNA from 1 species